rnacentral:rRNA from 1 species
CAUGUAGGCGGCAUGACAAGUCUGGUGUGAAAUAUCUCGGCUCAACCGAGAAAACGCACUGGAAACUGUCAAGCUUGAGUAUCGGAGGGGGAGCUAGAAUUCCUGGUGUAGGGGUGAAAUCUGUAGAUAUCAGGAAGAAUACCGGUGGCGAAGGCGAGCUUCUGGCCAGAUACUGACGCUGAGAUGCGAAAGCGUGGGGAGCGAACAGGAUUAGAUACCCUGGUAGUCC